GCCUGGGUGGCUCAGUUGGUUGAGCAUCCGACUUCAGCUCAGGUCACGAUCUCACGGUUCGUGAGUUCGAGCCCCGCGUCAGGCU
rnacentral:tRNA from 1 species